UCCAUCAUCAACGACAAAUCGACUUCAACGAACUCGAAAUAAAACACUUCAUCGUUCAUCACACGAUCUCCAUCACGAAUCAACAACAUCAACAACGCAAAUCCAAGGUUCUUCCCCUUUCAAUCUUCACUAUUUGGUGCGCAAUUUCAGUUUCGGUGUUGAGAUACCUUAUGAACCCACCGUCAUUCUCGACCUCUCCGUCGUGGAAGAAACCUAUUUCUUGUCUUGUUUCAGUGAGUUUUUCUGGGUUGUGCGUGCGAGGGUUACGCGCCGUUGAGGGAGGAUUUCUCUGGCGUUGUCG
rnacentral:lncRNA from 1 species